rnacentral:rRNA from 1 species
UACGUAGGGUGCGAGCGUUGUCCGGAAUUAUUGGGCGUAAAGAGCUCGUAGGCGGUUCGGCAAGUCGGAUGUGAAAUCUCCACGCUCAACGUGGAGGGGCCAUUCGAAACUGCCGUGACUCGAGUCCGGUAGGGGAGUGUGGAAUUCCCGGUGUAGCGGUGAAAUGCGCAGAUAUCGGGAAGAACACCCGUGGCGAAGGCGGUUCUCUGGGACGGUACUGACGCUGAGACGCGAAAGCGUGGGGAGCGAACAGG